UACGGAGGGUGCAAGCGUUAAUCGGAAUUACUGGGCGUAAAGCGCACGUAGGCGGCUUCUUAAGUCAGGGGUGAAAUCCUGGAGCUCAACUCCAGAACUGCCUUUGAUACUGAGGAGCUUGAGUCCGGGAGAGGUGAGUGGAACUGCGAGUGUAGAGGUGAAAUUCGUAGAUAUUCGCAAGAACACCAGUGGCGAAGGCGGCUCACUGGCCCGGUACUGACGCUGAGGUGCGAAAGCGUGGGGAGCGAACAGG
rnacentral:rRNA from 1 species